rnacentral:rRNA from 1 species
UCCGGUUGAUCCUGCCAGAGGUUACUGCUAUCGAGGUUCGACUAAGCCAUGCGAGUCGAAUGUAGCAAUACAUGGCGAACUGCUCAGUAACACGUGGACAACCUGCCCUUAGGUUGGGUAUAAACCCGGGAAACUGGGUAUAAUACCCGAUAGGUCUCGAUUGCUGGAAUGCAUCGAGAUUUAAAGCUCCGGCGCCUAAGGAUGGGUCUGCGGCCUAUCAGGUAGUAGUGGGUGUAGCGUACCUACUAGCCUACGACGGGUACGGGUUGUGAGAGCAAGAGCCCGGAGAUGGAUUCUGAGACACGAAUCCAGGCCCUACGGGGUGCAGCAGGCGCGAAAACUUUACAAUGCUGGCAACAGCGAUAAGGGAACCUCGAGUGCCAGGUUACAAAUCUGGCUGUCGAGAUGCCUAAAAAGCAUUUCAUAGCAAGGGCCGGGCAAGACCGGUGCCAGCCGCCGCGGUAACACCGGCGGCUCGAGUGGUAACCGUUAUUAUUGGGUCUAAAGGGUCUGUAGCCGGCCGGAUAAGUCUCUUGAGAAAUCUGGCAGCUUAACUGUCAGGCUUUCAGGAGAUACUGUCUGGCUCGAGGCCGGGAGAGGUGAGAGGUACUUCAGGGGUAGGGGUGAAAUCUUGUAAUCCUUGAAGGACCACCAGUGGCGAAGGCGUCUCACCAGAACGGACCUGACGGCAAGGGACGAAAGCUAGGGGCACGAACCGGAUUAGAUACCCGGGUAGUCCUAGCCGUAAACGAUACUCGCUAGGUGUCGGCCACGGUGCGACCGUUGUCGGUGCCGUAGGGAAGCCGUGAAGCGAGCUACCUGGGAAGUACGGCCGCAAGGCUGAAACUUAAAGGAAUUGGCGGGGGAGCACCACAACGGGUGGAGCUUGCGGUUUAAUUGGAUUCAACGCCGGAAAUCUUACCGGGACCGACAGCAAUAUGAAGGCCAGGCUGAAGACUUUGCCGGAUUAGCUGAGAGGUGGUGCAUGGCCGUCGUCAGUUCGUACUGUGAAGCAUCCUGUUAAGUCAGGUAACGAGCGAGACCCA